GCUUCGCUAGCUCAGUCGGUAGAGCGUCAGUCUCAUAAUCUGAAGGUCGACAGUUCGAACCUGCCGCGAAGCA
rfam:Cyberlindnera fabianii strain 65 BON22_Sc04, whole genome shotgun sequence.